rnacentral:rRNA from 1 species
AUGAACGCUGGCGGCGUGCCUAAUACAUGCCAGUCGAGCGAACAGACGAGGAGCUUGCUCCUCUGACGUUAGCGGCGGACGGGUGAGUAACACGUGGAUAACCUACCUAUAAGACUGGGAUAACUUCGGGAAACCGGAGCUAAUACCGGAUAAUAUAUUGAACCGCAUGGUUCAAUAGUGAAAGACGGUUUUGCUGUCACUUAUAGAUGGAUCCGCGCCGCAUUAGCUAGUUGGUAAGGUAACGGCUUACCAAGGCGACGAUGCGUAGCCGACCUGAGAGGGAGGACGCCCACCCGGUCUCGGAGCCAGGUCCCAGACUCCUGGGGGGGGACGCGGCGGGGACUCCUCCGCGAGGGGGGAGGGCGUAACGGGGCACCGCCGGGGGAGUGCUGAAGGUUUUCGGACCUUAAACUUCUGUUAUCAGGAAGGAAAAAAUGUUCAAUUACCUGGGCUGUUAUUGACGGUACCUAAUCAAAAAGCCCCGGCUAACUCCGUG